rnacentral:rRNA from 1 species
AACGAACGCUGGCGGCAUGCCUAACACAUGCAAGUCGAACGAGACCUUCGGGUCUAGUGGCGCACGGGUGCGUAACGCGUGGGAACCUGCCCUUAGGUUCGGAAUAACUCCCCGAAAGGGGUGCUAAUACCGGAUAAUGUCUUCGGACCAAAGAUUUAUCGCCUUUGGAUGGGCCCGCGUUGGAUUAGCUAGUUGGCAGGGUAAAAGCCUACCAAGGCGACGAUCCAUAGCUGGUCUGAGAGGAUGAUCAGCCACACUGGGACUGAGACACGGCCCAGACUCCUACGGGAGGCAGCAGUGGGGAAUAUUGGGCAAUGGGCGAAAGCCUGAUCCAGCAAUGCCGCGUGAGUGAUGAAGGCCUUAGGGUUGUAAAGCUCUUUUACCCGGGAUGAUAAUGACAGUACCGGGAGAAUAAGCUCCGGCUAACUCCGUG